rnacentral:rRNA from 1 species
GGUAGUCUCGCACAGAUGCAUAUCAAUAAGCGGAGGAAAAGAAACUAACAAGGAUUCCCUCAGUAACGGCGAGUGAAGCGGGAAGAGCUCAAAUUUGAAAUCUUGAAAGGUCACCUUUCACGAAUUGUAGUUUAAAGAAGUGUUUUCUGUUACGAUCGUAAUAUAAGUUCUUUGGAAUAGGACAUCAUAGAGGGUGAGAAUCCCGUAUGAUUGACCGAUUUUGUCAGCUGUGUGAUACACUUUCAAAGAGUCGGAUUGUUUGGGAAUGCAGUCCAAAAUGGGUAGGUAAAUUUCAUCUAAGGCUAAAUAUUGGCGAGAGACCGAUAGCGAACAAGUACCGUGAGGGAAAGAUGAAAAGAACUUUGAAAAGAGAGUUAAAUAGUACGUGAAAUUGUCAAAGGGAAGCGUUUAACACCAGUGUUGUUUUCUGAAAAUCAACCUCUGUUAGCUUUAUGCAUGUUUGUUUAGACCUAAUCAGCUAUCUUGCAUGUUCUAUUGUUUGCAGUGGUGCACUUUUCAGUUUACAGGUCAACAUCAGUUUUUUUUACCGUAAAAAAGUUAAAGAAAGGUAGCUCAUGGCUCCGGUCGUGAGUGUUAUAGGUCUUUUUCCUAUGCGGUAGGAGAGACUGAGGUCUUCAGUGUAGGCUAUUUGGCUAGAUACUCAGGUGCUAUGUGAUACCAUUUCAUAAACAACUUGUUGAUUAUGUUUUGUCUAUUGCAUACUCGCUUGUACUAUCAUACCUACGCUUAGGAUGUUGAAGAUGUAGCACAUCAU